CUGUACAGUUCAGAGUUUGAUCCUGGCUCAGAACGAACGCUGGCGGCAUGCCUAACACAUGCAAGUCGAACGAGACCUUCGGGUCUAGUGGCGCACGGGUGCGUAACGCGUGGGAAUCUGCCCUGGGGUGCGGAAUAACUCGGAGAAAUCCGUGCUAAUACCGCAUAAUGUCUUCGGACCAAAGAUUUAUUGCCCUGGGAUGAGCCCGCGUAGGAUUAGCUAGUUGGUGAGGUAAAGGCUCACCAAGGCGACGAUCCUUAGCUGGUCUGAGAGGAUGAUCAGCCACACUGGGACUGAGACACGGCCCAG
rnacentral:rRNA from 1 species